rnacentral:rRNA from 1 species
UACAUGGGGUGCAAACGUUGCUCGGAAUUAUUGGGCGUAAAGCGCGCGUAGGCGGUUACUCAAGUCGGAUGUGAAAGCCCUCGGCUUAACUGAGGAAGUGCACCCGAAACUGAGUAGCUAGAGUACUAAAGAGGGUCGCGGAAUUCCCGGUGUAGAGGUGAAAUUCGUAGAUAUCGGGAGGAACACCGGUGGCGAAGGCGGCGACCUGGGUAGAUACUGACGCUGAGGCGCGAAAGCGUGGGGAGCAA